UGCAGUCGAGCGCUUAUUCUCUGGUAGCAAUAUUGGAGAGUGGGAGCGGCGCAAGGGUGCGUAACACGUGGAUCAUCUGCCUGGAAGUUCGGAAUAAUUCGGCGAAAGCCGGACUAAUGCCGGAUGUGGUUGGAAGACUAAAGUUGGGGACCGCAAGGCCUGACGCUUCCAGAUGAGUCCGCGGCCUAUCAGCUAGUUGGCGGGGUAACGGCCCACCAAGGCGAAGACGGGUAGCUGGUCUGAGAGGACGACCAGCCACACUGGAACUGAGACACGGUCCAGACACCUACGGGUGGCAGCAGUCGAGAAUUUUUCUCAAUGGGGGAAACCCUGAAGGAGCGACGCCGCGUGGGGGAUGAAGGGCUUCGGCCCGUAAACCCCUGUCAUUUGCGAACAAACCUUGUCUGUUAACAGUAGGCAAGUUGAUUGUAGUGAAAGAGGAAGGGACGGCUAACUCUGUGCCAGCAGCCGCGGUAAUACAGAGGUCCCGAGCGUUGUUCGGAUUCACUGGGCGUAAAGGGUGCGCAGGUGGGUUUGCAAGUUCGAUGUGAAAGCCCCGGGCUUAACCCGGGAAUGGCAUUGGAUACUGCAGAUCUGGAGGAUCGGAGGGGGGACUGGAAUUCUUGGUGUAGCAGUGAAAUGCGUAGAUAUCAAGAGGAACACCAGUGGCGAAGGCGAGUCCCUGGACGAUACCUGACACUGAGGCACGAAAGCUAGGGGAGCAAACAGGAUUAGAUACCCUGGUAGUCCUAGCUGUAAACGGUGCGCAUUUGCUGUAAACGGAAUCGACCCCGUUUGUGGCGAAGCUAACGCGAUAAAUGCGCCGCCUGGGAAGUACGGUCGCAAGAUUA
rnacentral:rRNA from 1 species